GGGAGGGGAGGGCGAGGGGCGGGAGAAGCGAGCGGCGAGCGGGGCGGUGUCUGUAAAUAGCGGGGAGGGGCGAAGGUGUUUCAGAAGCGUAAAGAGACGCCGUGGCUGAGGCAGGCCCUGCGACGACGGCGUCGGCCUCCGAGCGCAGCCGAAGCGUGCGCCCCGAGGAGCCGGGCAUUCUUAGGAGAAUGGUUGGAGGAGGAGCGCAACUUCCGGAAAAUCCGGAUUGUGUCGAGUGCGACACUUUUUGCGGCAGAUUCAUCACAUCACAAAAGGGAUCCGCCCAGUGUCAAAGAUGAUGCUUGAGAUUGAGACUACAAUUAAGUUGAGGAUUGUGACUAGGAGCAGGAGGGUGCCACAGCCUUGGACUCAGGAUGAAGCUGGAGACUCGAGGACCCAGGCACACUCAGGAGAGUUUGACCAAGAGGCUGACAGGGAUCACAGGGCCCUCUGAGGCAGACUCAUUUCAGGUCCAACGUGGAUUCACCUCACCGGUCAUCCAAAAGAUAAGUUGGGGGGCCACAGCCUGGAGAUGGGAUGAUAGGAGAGUAGUGGCUUGGAAAUUCCUAGACAGAUUUAAAAAUUUGCAGAGGGUGAAGAGAUGUCCUCUAAGGGGCCCCGUGGAACAGCUAAAGGGAGAGGCUCUGCUUUCGAUUGCAGCUGUAGGGUAUGCGGUGCAGAACAGUUCCGGUCAGCGUUGUGUUGUUCGGUGUCCUGUGUUACCUAGUGUGUCUUUGGGGUCCCUUGGAUCCAAUAUCUCUGCCUUCUCCCCUCGAGGCCCUUAGCAAAACCAUCAGCUGUCAUGUCUAGGUUCUCGAACGCUGGCGCUUCUCAGCAGGAUGCCAAUAUCAUUUGUUCUUUUACCGGCGGGCUCAGCCGCAUCUCGAGUCACAUCUCCGAAGCAUCGAGUCAG